UAGAGUUCUUUACCACUCUUAAACCCUUUGUGAACCAUUAUAACCCGUUGCUUCGGCGGCGCGGCCCAGCGCCGUGCCCGCCGGUAACUUCAGAAUCUCUGUUCGAACCCGACGUUACAUCUGAGUGUUCUAAGCGAACUGUUA
rnacentral:misc_RNA from 1 species